rnacentral:lncRNA from 10 species
GGGGAGGUCUGGCCUGGAGGGGAAAAUUAAGGGGCUGAUUAAAGUGAGGCUGACCCUGAAAAAUGAACAGUAUUCCAUCCACAUAAGACAGAAAGCUCAGGAGACGUUAUUAGUCAUGGUCCCCACCCAAUGACAGUGACUUGUCCACCAUGGAGAUGCUGACUGCGGUGAUGGAGUGGAAAUGAGCCCCAGGCCAGGCACCCACCCAGCUCCACCCUGAGCAGCUGCAUGUGGUUGAGCAGGUCCUUUAACUUCUUUGGGCCAGCCUCUUUAAAUUGUCAGUAAAAUUGUCAUGAGGAUUAAAUGAGAGGGGCCAUGAAGAUGAAAUGAAAUAAUAAGCAUGACGGAUGGUCCUGGUGCUAGCCUCACAGUGAGUGCUCAAGAA